UUUUUUGAGAGUUUGAUCCUGGCUCAGGACGAACGCUGGCGGCGUGCCUAACACAUGCAAGUCGUACCCCUGAGAGCAAUCGAAGGGGUGGCGAACGGGUGAGUAAUGGUAGGGAACGUGCCUUAUUCCGGGAAAUACCCCACCGAAAGGUGGGCUAAUGUCCCAUAGUCUCGCAAGAGUAAAGCUCUGGCGGAAUAAGAUCGGCCCUACUCCUAUCAGCUAGUUGGUGAGGUAACGGCUUACCAAGGCGACGACGGGUAGGGGGUCUGAGAGGAUGAUCCCCCACAAUGGAACUGAGACAACAAAAGUUAUCUCCUUGAGCAGUAAUGUUCAAGUAAAAUUCGGCUAAUAACGGUGGAACCCGCCUUACAUAUAUCCAUGUUUGACUUCGGUUUUUGUUCGAUAUAAUAUGGAGUAAGUGAGGGGUAAUACCGUGGGAAGUCGAUUUAACACGCAGACAAAUGAAUUUUGGGCUUAUCUUGCCGGCUUUUUGGACGGCGAUGGAUGUAUUACGGCGAUAGUUGAAAGAAGCAAGACUAAUCGUUCUGGCGUUAGAGUUAGAAUCAGAGUUAGUUUUACACAGCAUCGAUAUCGUAGAAAAGUAUUAGAUAAAUUGAAGGCAGAGAUAGGUGAGGGUCAAGUUGCUGAAUACAAUCAUAAUAGUAUGGCUGAAUAUGUUAUUCGUGACCAGAAAAUAAUCUUAGAAAUAUUAGAAAAGAUAAAACCAUAUUUGAUUGCUAAAGCAAAACAUUUAGAAUUAGCGUUAAAGCUAAUGCGGUUAGAGAAUUGGAAUUCAAACAAAACUAAUUUGCAAAAGGCGAUGAAGCUAGCUCAAGAUAUAAAAGGCCUAAAUAAAUACCCAAAACGUGUUAGAUUUGACCCCGUAACGACUGAGGUCGAAAGACCGAGAUAUCGAUUCUACAAGUAUUAGAAUUUUAUCGAUAUAAUACGCCGACACUCCCCGCCCAGGGCGGGGAAAGAAGAUAUAGUCUACACUACUAGUAAUAGUAGAUAAAGUGACGGUCCAUACACCUACGGGUGGCAGCAGUUGGGAAUAUUGCACAAUGGGCGACAGCCUGAUGCAGCGACGCCGCGUGAAGGAAGAAGGCCUUCGGGUUGUAAACUUCUUUUUUAGGGGACGAUUGUGACGGUACCCUAAGAAUAAGGACCUGCUAACUACGUGCCAGCAGCAGCGGUAAUACGUAGGGUCCGAGCGUUGUCCGGAUUUAUUGGGCGUAAAGAGCAUGUAGGUGGAUUGAUGUGUCGGAUUUUAAAUCUCCAGGCUUAACUUGGAUUUUGGAUCCGAAACUAUUAAUCUCGAGGAUAACAGGGGCAAGCGGAAUUAGCGGAGUAGCAGUGAAAUGCGUUGAUCUCGCUAAGAACACCAAUGGCGAAGGCAGCUUGCUAGGUUAUCUCUGACACUGAGAUGCGAAAGCGUGGGGAGCGAACGGGAUUAGAUACCCCGGUAGUCCACGCCGUAAACGAUGCAGACUAGGUAUCAGAAGUAUCGACCCUUCUUGUACCAAAGCUAACGCGUUAAGUCUGCCGCCUGGGAAGUACGGUCGCAAGACUAAAACUCAAAGGAAUUGACGGGGACUCGCACAAGCGGUGGAGCAUGUGGUUUAAUUCGACGAUAAGCGAAGAACCUUACCAGGGAUUGACAUCUAGAGAACCCUGCAGAAAUGCGGGGGUGCUCGCAAGAGAGCUCUAAGACAGGUGCUGCACGGCUGUCGUCAGCUCGUGUCGUGAGAUGUGGCCUUAAGUGGUCAAACGAGCGAAACCUGUAUCCUGUGUUGAUUUUCACAGGAGACUGCCUCGGUUUACGGGGAGGAAGGCGCAGAUGACGUCAAGUCAGCGUGGCUCUUACACCCUGGGCUACACACGUGCUACAAUGGUAAUGCUAUAAAGAGUUGCAAGAUCGCAAGAUUAAGCUAAUCUCCUAAAACUUGCCUCAGUACGGAUUGAGGGCUGUAAUUCGCCCUCAUGAAGCUGGAAUCGCUAGUAAUCGUGGGUCAGCUACACCACGGUGAAUACGUUCUCGAGUCUUGUACACACCGCCCGUCAAGUGAGCCGAGUCGGCGGGGCCCGAACUUCGUAGUAACGGGGAACGGCCAAGUCGGUGAGGAGCACUAAGUCGUAACAAGGUAUCCGUAGGGGAAUCUGCGGAUGGAUCACCUCCUUU
rnacentral:rRNA from 1 species